rnacentral:lncRNA from 1 species
GCAAAAACGGGCUCACUUGGGUGGGGAAUACUCGGGUUUUAAUGACCCGUCUCGUAUGUCUCCGGAUGAUAUUUCUGAUGAUGAUGUUGAGGCACUGCUAGCCAAGUUCUUCAGGAACUAUCAAGGAGUACCAGUUAUUCCUUCAACGCUUUGUCAGUUUGAUGCUUGGUAUCAGCCAGAAGUGGUAUGGCCUUUCACUUUGACUUGUACUUUUUGAACUGUUUGGGAUACUGUUUGAGUGUCGACUUGUUUUUGUAGUUCCGAGUUCUUGCCGGCUACUUGGCACAGUCGGAAGAAGAAGAAUCUGUUGUUGAAGAGUCAGAGGACGAGCCCUCUCCUCCUGUGAAGAAACGCCGGGUAGUCCGCAAGAUGUCUGCUACUAAGUCUGCCUCGACUUCUCCUCCUGAGAAGGCUCAGGGUGCCAAGGUAUGUAGCCGUGUACUCACUUGUAGCUGAUGGAUUUUAACUUGUAAUCUUUUAAUCACUUUAUCUGUCUCAAAAGGCUGACGAUGCGGCGCUCGGUGACGAUGAGGCUGCUUCGGAUGAAGUAGUCGUGACCACC